rnacentral:rRNA from 1 species
CCCCUAGAUGUUCUGGGCCGCACGCGCGCUACACUGAACAGUUCAACAAGUCUUAACCUUGGCCGAUAGGUCUGGGUAAUCUUUGAACGCUGUUCGUGAUUGGGAUAGACCUUUGCAAUUAUGGGUCUUCAACGAGGAAUUCCUAGUAAACGCAAGUCAUCAACUUGCAUUGAUUACGUCCCUGCCCUUUGUACACACCGCCCGUCGCACCUACCGAUUGAAUGGUCCGGUGAAGCGUUCGGACCGUGGCCUUUGGACGGUUCGCCGUCUGUUGGCUGCGGGAAGUUCGUUAAACCUUAUCAUUUAGAGGAAGGAGAAGUCGUAACA